AGCCUGUGAUGAGCCAAAAAAAAGAAAUAAGAGUAGUGGACAGAAGUCAUUUCUGAAACCGUUUAUUCUGAGGCC
ensembl:snoRNA Small nucleolar RNA SNORD75